rnacentral:rRNA from 1 species
UACGGGGGGGGCAAGCGUUGUUCGGAAUUACUGGGCGUAAAGGGCUCGUAGGUGGCCAACUAAGUCGGACGUGAAAUCCCUCGGCUUAACCGGGGAACUGCGUCCGAUACUGGUUGGCUUGAGUUUGGGAGAGGGAUGCGGAAUUCCAGGUGUAGCGGUGAAAUGCGUAGAUAUCUGGAGGAACACCGGUGGCGAAGGCGACAUCCUGGACCAACACUGACGCUGAGGAGCGAAAGCCAGGGGAGCAAACGGG